rnacentral:lncRNA from 1 species
CCGGUUGUAUAGAGUUAUGCGAUGUUUCUAUGCUCUUCUUCUUACGAAGUGUAAAUGAUAUUGAAUAUGUCUCAUUUUAUGCUAUUAGUAUGAAUGAUGUGUUGUGCUUGAUUAGUACAAUUAUGAUGAUAUUUUGAUUCCUUGUAGGUACUCAGUACUUUAUAUUUCAGAGUAAAACGUACAAUAAGUAUAUGGUUAAUC